CUAGACUGAUGUUGAAACCAUUCACUCUAAAGCAAAAAGUAGUCAAACUUUCAACUUAUGGUUGAAAAAACACAGUCUAAUUACAUAAAGAAAAAUUCUUGAAGCUACGGCAGCAGUGUCAAAAUGAAGGUGAAAGCAUUCCUUUGCUUUGUGUUUCUGUUACUGGUGCCCUUAUGUGGCACUUCUGCAGGAUCGAGCAUGGAGAAUCUUGAAGCCAAGAAGCAUUGGAAUCGUCUAAACGAGCGGCCUCCUCUUAGGUCCACCCAGGUCUGUCUAGAUGCCCUUUAUCUGUGUUUGUUUUAUACAAGAAUUAUCCAUGCCUGCGUCUCUGUGUCUUGUCUGUGUCUGUGUUUAUACUGUUUAUACAUUUAACAAGAUUUUGCAAUGUAAGAAAAUACUCGAAACAGUUGACAAAAUCUGUUAGUAUUUGAAACCUGUUCUUGAAUAGAAAUUGGAUAUUUACAAGUUUACCUUCUAAUUUUUAAACAAGAUAAUGCUAUCUUUACCAGAUCUGUGUAGAAGAUGAACUGUUCUUGCUUUUUACCCUCUCUUAUUUUCAGCUUUUCACAUUAUGAGAAAAGACAAGAUAUGUACUGUGUGCAUAUUAGAUGCUCAAAAUCUUAUCCCAACUAACAAAAGGUAAAGUUGUUGGGUUGGGCUUUAAUUAAUUGUGUUUUGGUCCAAUAUGGGUUUGACAAAAGUAUCAUAAGCAAGCUAGUAACAAACAUGUGUGAAUCUCAUUAUGACUGGAAUAUGCCAAACAUAAUAAUCCAAUAUUCUUAUACGUUGCCGGCAUAAUCAUACAAUAAUUACCCAGUAAAUACUAGAAAUUCAUAAGGAGAAUGCUUGCAAAUUUUGCACAACAAUAAUGCGUAUAUUGAAACUAUAAAUUACCGAUAGGUGAUUAUAUUAAUAUCACAACUUUUAUUUUGUUACACCACAUUUCAAUCUUUGCUCAUUGUAGCAAUUAUUUCUUUAAAUUAUUCUAUCGAAUUCCUCUCUUCAACCUUCCAUUAAUUAGCACGUCUUUAAUGAUGAUUUAUAUAAAAAAAUAUUUUGUUUUUAUGCUUUCAAAUGAGGGGAAAUUUUAUUUUUUAUUUUUUGCACUUUUAGUUUAUUUAUUUUUUAAAAAUGUGAUGAAAAAAUAAGUUGUUUUUAUACCAUUUCAAAGGACUUUUGGAUAUAAAACUGUUAUCAAAUACGAAAUUUGUGUUGGAAAUGGUGUUUAUUAAUAAACCAAUUCAAAAAUGAAUGAGAAAUUGUGGUUUUGAAAUAGUGGCACCUGUCUGGAAGGUUGCAUGGUUUGGCUCAAAUGCUUUCAUCACACCACUCCAUUCUCUAUAUAAAGGACCCCUUGGAUGACUUUGAGAGUACACCAUUUGCAUAUUGAGCAUUCAUUCUUCUCAAAAUUGCAAUUCUCUUCUUCUUCAUCUCUUUUCAUAUAUUAUAUUCCUUGUAGAGGGGAAACUCCGUCGAAAGUUCGCCGGAUUUGUGGUUUGAAGUGCUACUACCACAAAUCGAAUCCGUUGUAUCUUGGGAGACAAUUGCCGCCAACCGUGAGCACCGUAGCGGGGCAAUAUUGUCUUAAGGAGAGAGUGAAUACACUUGCCUCGGAUUUAAUCUUCGUUUUCUACUCCUUCUUAUUUUAAUUUUCUUAUUUGGUUUUAUGGUUUUGUACUACAUUUCCAUUUCAUAAAUUUGUGUGCACUCAUAAACAACCAUCUUUACCGCUCACAAAUAAGCCCGGCACCAACAAUCUUAAGACAAUAUUUUAUCGAUGGUUGUUUUGUGUUCUAAUCAAAUUCUGUUCAUUGUGUAGUUUAUAUUUUAAUUCUUGUUGGAAUCUGAAUCUGGAAAAUCAGUGUGUUGGUUUCUCUAUUGCCGGUGGAAGACCAUGAUGAAACUAUAAGACCACUUUAAGAAAUCACUUUGGCGAUGAUCAAGUUGAUGGAUCAAGAUUUGUCUGAGGAUCAAUUUUUGGAUGAAAUUCUGCCAAAAGAAAUCUGGAACGUGUUCGAAGGAAAAUGUCUCCAUUGAAGAAUGGUAAGGAUUGAAUCCCAUUUGGUAAGUUUGAAUCCCAUUUGGUAAGUCGAAAUUGCUCUCCAAAUUCAGUAAGGCAAAUUGCGUAUCAAUUUUAUGCAUACAUGUGGUAUGUGAAUAUAUUGUGUGCACAACGUCAGUGUUAAUUGUGAAGGAUUAAUUGUCGUCCUUGUUUGGCAUUAUAUGUGUUCUGAAUUUGAGAUUCAUAUGCCAAUCUGGAAUAGCAUUAAGGCGGUUUCUUAAAAUCUGAAAUGGCAUGAACCUGUUGAAAAUUAUCUGUCAUUUUUCUUUGGACUAAUGCCAACCAUUGCGUUCCUUUAUGUUAAAAAAAAUGAAACUAUUUGCUGUUCAAUACUUGUUUGAUUCGCCGCAAAUGGAGACAAUGAAAUAUUAUUAUAUAGGCUGCAGUCGGCAGAUAAUGCAUGGCUGCCAUUAAUGUGUCUCUUAAAAAUCAGUGCACAUGUUCUUAAAUUAAUGACUUUUAAUUUUAAAUGCAACCUUAAACAAUUAUGGUGGCAAAGGAAUCCAUUUGGCAUGGUGACUGUUCAAUAAUUAAUUCCUUAUGCAUGUGCCUUUCGGUUGUAAGUUCCAGAAUUUGCAAGAAUAAAAUAUAACUUAUGUUGCAUCUUUGAUCUAUUGAAACUUGAAAUGGUGUCGACAAUUAAAAUUAUAUGGUGGUUCCGGCAACCGUUGAUGGUGGUGAUAAAUACACCAUGGAAAGGAACCAUUAAUUUUGCACUGUCUUUAUGGAAAUUUAUGCAAAUAAAUUGUGCUAAUCUGACAGAAUAAUUGCAUAAAAGUGACAUGUUGCCUUAAAUGUAAAUGAAGUAAAAAACUGCUUCCAUUUCAAGAUAGGCACAUUAGAUGUGUAUUUCUUGAUACCAUAGCAUGAUUUGUCUCCAAUAAUUUUUUAAAAAUUGGCAUUGGAGUAUUGCAUGGCAUUUCCAAAAUGAAAAAUCCAGUACGUGGUAAAUUGAUGAUGAUCAAAUGCAUAUGCAUGAUGAAAUCAAUGUUUUCCGGUUGGAGAAGAAUUGGAUCAUAUUCUUCACUUAAGGAAGGAAAAUGUCAGAUUGCAUGUGAUUGUCCUUAUUAUAUGUCAUUUCCAGAAUUUUCAUAUACUAAUGGGUGGAAUUGGCAAACACUAAUCCACGAUAGAAAUUGUCCGCAAGAAAAUUUCAUUCACGAUAAAUAGGCACGUUGGUGGUGUCUCUUUGAAAGUCUAAAAUCAUGUGAAUUGGAUUAGUGUAUUCAUUUAAUGAAUCUAUAUAAAGGUUUGAAUUUUGGAUAAACCUUUGCGGAAAUCAAUUUUGAUUAAUUGAUUAUUCUCACUUUGCUAUGACAAUUGGGAAUGGCUCAUAUGCAUGACACUUUAAAAAUGCAAUUUAUACCAAUUGUGGUGGCUAGAAAAUUAUCUGGCUAUGGUUGCUAUUCGGUGAAUAAUUCCAAUAUGUGGGUUAUCACAUUUGUUGCACGAUGCAUUUGCCAUUAUGUUGGUUUAUGGACUUUGAAAUGCUAAUAAAGC
rnacentral:lncRNA from 1 species